GGGAUUGUGGCUCAGUGGUAGAGUGCUCGUCUAGGACAUGCGAGGCCCUGGGUUUGAUCCCCAGCACCA
rnacentral:tRNA from 1 species